AGUGAACGCUGGCGGUAGGCCUAACACAUGCAAGUCGAACGGCAGCACAGUAAGAGCUUGCUCUUACGGGUGGCGAGUGGCGGACGGGUGAGGAAUACAUCGGAAUCUACUUUUUCGUGGGGGAUAACGUAGGGAAACUUACGCUAAUACCGCAUACGACCUACGGGUGAAAGCAGGGGAUCUUCGGACCUUGCGCGAUUGAAUGAGCCGAUGUCGGAUUAGCUAGUUGGCGGGGUAAAGGCCCACCAAGGCGACGAUCCGUAGCUGGUCUGAGAGGAUGAUCAGCCACACUGGAACUGAGACACGGUCCAGACUCCUACGGGAGGCAGCAGUGGGGAAUAUUGGACAAUGGGCGCAAGCCUGAUCCAGCCAUACCGCGGGGGUGAAGAAGGCCUUCGGGUUGUAAAGCCCUUUUGUUGGGAAAGAAAAGCAGCAGGUUAAUACCCCGCUGUUCUGACGGUACCCAAAGAAUAAGCACCGGCUAACUUCGUGC
rnacentral:rRNA from 1 species